AUUGAACGCUGGCGGAAUGCUUUGCACAUGCAAGUCGAACGGCAGCACGGGGGCAACCCUGGUGGCGAGUGGCGAACGGGUGAGUAAUACAUCGGAACGUGCCCAGUCGUGGGGGAUAACGUAGCGAAAGUUACGCUAAUACCGCAUACGAUCUACGGAUGAAAGCGGGGGACCGUAAGGCCUCGCGCGAUUGGAGCGGCCGAUGUCAGAUUAGGUAGUUGGUGAGGUAAAGGCCCACCAAGCCGACGAUCUGUAGCUGGUCUGAGAGGACGACCAGCCACACUGGGACUGAGACACGGCCCAGACUCCUACGGGAGGCAGCAGUGGGGAAUUUUGGACAAUGGGCGCAAGCCUGAUCCAGCCAUUCCGCGUGCAGGACGAAGGCCUUCGGGUUGUAAACUGCUUUUGUACGGAACGAAAAGGCUCUGGUUAAUACCUGGGGCUCAUGACGGUACCGUAAGAAUAAGCACCGGCUAACUACGUGCCAGCCGCCGCAGUAA
rnacentral:rRNA from 1 species